GCAGCAAGCCACUUUGUCGCUCUCCGUCACGGCGGAGGGAGGAAAGUCCGGACACCAAAGAGCAGCAUAACGGGUAACACCCGUCCUCUCGGCUCAGCCGAGAGAGGACAAGUGCAACAGAAAGCAAGUACAGUAAGGCUGUAGUGAAACCAGGUAAACUCUAUGCGGUGCAAUGCCAUGUAUAUUGGUUCCCGACUCAGUCGGGUGAGGGCUGCUCGUCCAACGCCAAGGGGUAGGCAGAUAGAUUUCGUCGGUAACGGCGAAACCAGAUAAAUGACAAAGUUCCAAUGAAUUGGAAACAGAAUCCGGCUUAUGGCUUGCUAUUUUU
rnacentral:RNase_P_RNA from 1 species